CUACGUGCCAGCAGCCGCGGUCAUACGUAGGGUGCAAGCAUUAUCCGGAGUGACUGGGCGUAAAGAGUUGCGUAGGCGGUUUAAUAAGUGAAUAGUGAAACCUGGUGGCUCAACCAUACAGACUAUUAUUCAAACUGUUAAACUCGAGAGUAGUAGAGGUAACUGGAAUUUCUAGUGUAGGAGUGAAAUCCGUAGGUAUUAGAAGGAACACCAAUGGCGUAGGCAGGUUACUGGACUAUUUCUGACGCUAAGGCACGAAAGCGUGGGGAGCGAACUGGAUUAGAUACCCAGGUAGUCCACGCCGUAAACGAUGGAUACUAGCUGUUGGAGGUAUCGACCCCUUCAGUAGCGAAGCUAACGCGUUAAGUAUCCCGCCUGUGGAGUACGGCCGCAAGGCUAAAACAUAAAGGAAUUGACGGGGACCCGCACAAGCGGUGGAUCAUGUUCUUUAAUUCGAUGAUAAACGAAGAACCUUACCAGGGUUUGACAUCCCGA
rnacentral:rRNA from 1 species